GAUGAAGAACGUAGCGAAAUGCGAUAAGUAAUGUGAAUUGCAGAAUCCAGUGAAUCAUCGAAACUUUGAACGCACAUUGCGCCCGCCAGCAUUCUGGCGGGCAUGCCUGUUCGAGCGUCAUUUCAACCCUCGACCUCCCUUUGGGGAAGUCGGCGUUGGGGACCGGCAGCACACCGCCGGCCCUGAAAUGGAGUGGCGGCCCGUCCGCGGCGACCUCUGCGUAGUAAUCCAACUCGCACCGGAACCCCGACGCGGCCACGCCGUAAAACACCCAACUUCUGAACGUUGACCUCGAAUCAGGUAGGACUACCCGCUGAACUUAAGCAUAUCAAUAAGCGGAGGA
rnacentral:misc_RNA from 1 species